GAAAAGCAAUAACAGAAUGCGGAAUAAAGUGUUCCAGUUACAGAGACAGUGCAGUGCAGGCAGACAAUAAGGUGCAAGGGCCAUGACAAGGUAGAUUGUGAGGUCAAGAGUCCAUCUUAUUGUGCAAGAGAACAUGAAGUACAAGGCGAAGGGGAGAUGGUGAAUGUGUGCAGAACGUCGGGCAAUGCACAGUCUGAGCCUUGUGUUCAGGUCUGGACAGCCGUCACAGAAGGCAAUUGAAGAGCAGACUGUGUUGAUUCGCCAGGCAAUGGGAACACACGGAAAACAGCAAGUGCAGCAGAACUGAAAGGGUGGUCAGUGUGUGGGGUCAGUUGCUGGCAAUGCUGGUGGAACCACUAACCUCAGCGGGCUGGACGAGGACACCAGAAUGGUUCUCGCUAGCAGACGAUGAGUAAUGCAGCCUGAGCUCAGCACCAACACAUGACGCGGCCGUGAUGCAUCGCACAGCUGGCACUGCGUGGGACACAGCUGGGUACCCGGCCGGGGGAAAGGCCAGAAACCGCCAACGUCCCCGGGCCCUCAGCAGUGGAAGUCACGUCUGACGUGGGUUACUGUGGAGGAGUGAAAGAUGUGAAGCCUUGUCAACGCAGUGCAAAUAAAUCAUCGGCCGUGCCUUUGCUGUCAUGGUUACGGGUUCAGGGAUGGUUGUACUGACGGGCUGUUGCGCGCUGCUGGAAGUGCAGUCGGUGGGGAGUGUUUACACACCGCGCGUGGCAGCUGAGGACGCACCAGCAGGGAACAAGUGCCCACACGUAGAUCAAAGCCACUUCCUUGAAAGUGGUGCUCACCAGCCAAGCCAUCGACGUGACAUGAAGCAGGAGUUCUGCCUCCCAGCUAUGUUUUGCCAGGGUCCAGCCUUGCAGCACUCCACUUGGGAGUAACCUGGGGACACCAUCUCACGGUCCUGCCUUGGGAUAACAAAUUCCCCUCCAACAUCAACAAACCAUUGAAGCUUUGAAUCCUAAACCGAGGCACCAGCCUCAGUGCUUCAACACGGGUCGAUAGUCAGGAGGAGCUGCUCCAUUGACUCUGUCUUCACCUCUCGUUGUCUUGGUGAAGCAGCCAGCGUAAUCGAAGACCCCACCCACCCGGGUCAUUCUCUCUUCUCUCCUUUUCCAUCGGGUAGAAGAUACAGGAGCCUGAGGGCACAUACCACCAGACUUAAGGACAGCUUCUAUCCCACUGUCAUAAGACUAUUGAAUGGUUCCCUUAUAUGAUGAGAUGGACUCUGACCUCACGAUCUACCUUGUUGUGACCUUGCACCUUAUUGCACUGCACUUUCUCUGUAGCUGUGACACUUUCCUCUGCACUGUUAUUGUUUUUACCUGUACUACAUCAAUGCAUUCUGUACUAACUCAACGUA